CCUACGGGUGGCAGCAGUGGGGAAUAUUGGGCAAUGGGCGCAAGCCUGACCCAGCAACGCCGCGUGAAGGAAGAAGGCUUUCGGGUUGUAAACUUCUUUUCUCAGGGACGAAGCAAGUGACGGUACCUGAGGAAUAAGCCACGGCUAACUACGUGCCAGCAGCCGCGGUAAUACGUAGGUGGCAAGCGUUAUCCGGAUUUAAUGGGUGUACAGGGCGUGUAGGCGGGACUGCAAGUCAGAGGUGAAAACCACGGGCUCAACCUGUGGCCUGCAUUUGAAACUGUAGUUCUUGAGUACUGGAGAGGCAGACGGAAGUCCUGGUGUAGCGGUGAAAUGCGUAGAUAUUAGGAGGAACACCAGUGGCGAAGGCGGUCUGCGGGACAGCAACUGACGCUGAGGCGCGAAAGCGUGGGGAGCAAACAGGAUUAGAUACCCUUGUAGUC
rnacentral:rRNA from 1 species